rnacentral:rRNA from 1 species
ACACGCAUGACACACUGCAUAUCAAUAAGCGGAGGAAAAGAAACUAACAAGGAUUCCCCUAGUAACGGCGAGUGAAGCGGGAAGAGCUCAAAUUUGAAAUCUUAAAGGGUUUCCCUUUACGAAUUGUAGUUUAAAGAAGUGUUUUCUGUUGGAGUUUCGGUAAAAGUUCUUUGGAAUAGGACAUCAUAGAGGGUGAGGAUCCCGUAUUUGACCGUUACUUUCCAGCUGUGUGAUACACUUUCAAAGAGUCGGAUUGUUUGGGAAUGCAGUCCAAAAUGGGUGGUAAAUUUCAUCUAAAGCUAAAUAUUGGCGAGAGACCGAUAGCGAACAAGUACCGUGAGGGAAAGAUGAAAAGAACUUUGAAAAGAGAGUUAAACAGUACGUGAAAUUGUCAAAAGGGAAGCGUUUGACACCAGUGUUGUUUAGUUGAAAAUCAAUUCAAUAAUUUUUGAUUUUAAGUAGUAUUGACUUCAUCAGCUUGCUGCUUUCUUUUCGGAAAUUAUUGAAUGCACUUUUCAGUUAACAAGUCAACAUCAAUUUCUUUUGUUGUAAAAGGGUAAGAGGAAGGUGGCUUACGCUUCGGCGCAAGUGUUUAUAGCCUUUUACCUCUGCAAUCGGAGAGAUUGAGGACAGCAGCGUAGACUCCUUCGGGGUUAGAUACACUUGUGCUAAGCUAUAGCCUUGUAUAGACAACUUGUUGACUAUGCUCAGUCAUGUAGCUUACUCGCUUGUGCUAUUUUACCUACGCUUAGGAUGUUGAACUACUGAGACAUAGA